UGGGGAAUAUUGCACAAUGGGCGCAAGCCUGAUGCAGCCAUGCCGCGUGUAUGAAGAAGGCCUUCGGGUUGUAAAGUACUUUCAGCGGGGAGGAAGGUGUUGUGGUUAAUAACCUCAGCAAUUGACGUUACCCGCAGAAGAAGCACCGGCUAACUCCGUGCCAGCAGCCGCGGUAAUACGGAGGGUGCAAGCGUUAAUCGGAAUUACUGGGCGUAAAGCGCACGCAGGGGGUCUGUCAAGUCGGAUGUGAAAUCCCCGGGCUCAACCUGGGAACUGCAUCCGAAACUGGCAGGCUUGAGUCUUGUAGAGGGGGGUAGAAUUCCAGGUGUAGCGGUGAAAUGCGUAGAGAUCUGGAGGAAUACCGGUGGCGAAGGCGGCCCCCUGGACAAAGACUGACGCUCAGGUGCGAAAGCGUGGGGAGCAAACA
rnacentral:rRNA from 1 species